GGGUUGUGAGGUUAAGCGACUAAGCGUACACGGUGGAUGCCCUGGCAGUCAGAGGCGAUGAAGGACGUGCUAAUCUGCGAAAAGCGUCGGUAAGGUGAUAUGAACCGUUAUAACCGGCGAUGUCCGAAUGGGGAAACCCAGUGCAAUUCGUUGCACUAUCGUUAACUGAAUACAUAGGUUAACGAGGCGAACCGGGGGAACUGAAACAUCUAAGUACCCCGAGGAAAAGAAAUCAACCGAGAUUCCCCCAGUAGCGGCGAGCGAACGGGGAGCAGCCCAGAGUCUGAAUCAGCUUGUGUGUUAGUGGAACGGUCUGGAAAGUCCGACGGUACAGGGUGAUAGUCCCGUACACCAAAAUGCACAGGUUGUGAACUCGAAGAGUAGGGCGGGACACGUGGUAUCCUGUCUGAAUAUGGGGGACCAUCCUCCAAGGCUAAAUACUCCUGACUGACCGAUAGUGAACCAGUACCGUGAGGGAAAGGCGAAAAGAACCCCGGCGAGGGGAGUGAAAAAGAACCUGAAACCGUGUACGUACAAGCAGUGGGAGCACCUUCGGGUGUGACUGCGUACCUUUUGUAUAAUGGGUCAGCGACUUAUAUUCUGUAGCAAGGUUAACCGUAUAGGGGAGCCGCAGGGAAACCGAGUCUUAACUGGGCGUUAAGUUGCAGGGUAUAGACCCGAAACCCGGUGAUCUAGCCAUGGGCAGGUUGAAGGUUGGGUAACACUAACUGGAGGACCGAACCGACUAAUGUUGAAAAAUUAGCGGAUGACUUGUGGCUGGGGGUGAAAGGCCAAUCAAACCGGGAGAUAGCUGGUUCUCCCCGAAAGCUAUUUAGGUAGCGCCUCGUGAACUCAUCUUCGGGGGUAGAGCACUGUUUCGGCUAGGGGGUCAUCCCGACUUACCAACCCGAUGCAAACUACGAAUACCGAAGAAUGUUAUCACGGGAGACACACGGCGGGUGCUAACGUCCGUCGUGAAGAGGGAAACAACCCAGACCGCCAGCUAAGGUCCCAAAGUCAUGGUUAAGUGGGAAACGAUGUGGGAAGGCACAGACAGCCAGGAUGUUGGCUUAGAAGCAGCCAUCAUUUAAAGAAAGCGUAAUAGCUCACUGGUCGAGUCGGCCUGCGCGGAAGAUGUAACGGGGCUAAACCAUGCACCGAAGCUGCGGCAGCGACACUAUGUGUUGUUGGGUAGGGGAGCGUUCUGUAAGUCUGCGAAGGUGACCUGUGAGGGUUGCUGGAGGUAUCAGAAGUGCGAAUGCUGACAUAAGUAACGAUAAAGCGGGUGAAAAGCCCGCUCGCCGGAAGACCAAGGGUUCCUGUCCAACGUUAAUCGGGGCAGGGUGAGUCGACCCCUAAGGCGAGGCCGAAAGGCGUAGUCGAUGGGAAACAGGUUAAUAUUCCUGUACUUGGUGUUACUGCGAAGGGGGGACGGAGAAGGCUAUGUUAGCCGGGCGACGGUUGUCCCGGUUUAAGCAUGUAGGCUGAUUAUCCAGGCAAAUCCGGAUAAUCAAGGCUGAGGUGUGAUGACGAGGCACUACGGUGCUGAAGUAACAAAUGCCCUGCUUCCAGGAAAAGCCUCUAAGCAUCAGGUAACAUUAAAUCGUACCCCAAACCGACACAGGUGGUCAGGUAGAGAAUACCAAGGCGCUUGAGAGAACUCGGGUGAAGGAACUAGGCAAAAUGGUGCCGUAACUUCGGGAGAAGGCACGCUGGUGUGUAGGUGAAGUCCCUGCGGAUGGAGCUGAGACCAGUCGAAGAUACCAGCUGGCUGCAACUGUUUAUUAAAAACACAGCACUGUGCAAACACGAAAGUGGACGUAUACGGUGUGACGCCUGCCCGGUGCCGGAAGGUUAAUUGAUGGGGUUAUCCGUAAGGAGAAGCUCUUGAUCGAAGCCCCGGUAAACGGCGGCCGUAACUAUAACGGUCCUAAGGUAGCGAAAUUCCUUGUCGGGUAAGUUCCGACCUGCACGAAUGGCGUAAUGAUGGCCAGGCUGUCUCCACCCGAGACUCAGUGAAAUUGAACUCGCUGUGAAGAUGCAGUGUACCCGCGGCAAGACGGAAAGACCCCGUGAACCUUUACUAUAGCUUGACACUGAACAUUGAGCCUUGAUGUGUAGGAUAGGUGGGAGGCUUUGAAGCGUGGACGCCAGUCUGCGUGGAGCCAACCUUGAAAUACCACCCUUUAAUGUUUGAUGUUCUAACGUUGGCCCCUGACCGGGGUUGCGGACAGUGUCUGGUGGGUAGUUUGACUGGGGCGGUCUCCUCCCAAAGCGUAACGGAGGAGCACGAAGGUUAGCUAAUCCUGGUCGGACAUCAGGAGGUUAGUGCAAUGGCAUAAGCUAGCUUGACUGCGAGCGUGACGGCGCGAGCAGGUGCGAAAGCAGGUCAUAGUGAUCCGGUGGUUCUGAAUGGAAGGGCCAUCGCUCAACGGAUAAAAGGUACUCCGGGGAUAACAGGCUGAUACCGCCCAAGAGUUCAUAUCGACGGCGGUGUUUGGCACCUCGAUGUCGGCUCAUCACAUCCUGGGGCUGAAGUAGGUCCCAAGGGUAUGGCUGUUCGCCAUUUAAAGUGGUACGCGAGCUGGGUUUAGAACGUCGUGAGACAGUUCGGUCCCUAUCUGCCGUGGGCGCUGGAGAAUUGAGGGGGGCUGCUCCUAGUACGAGAGGACCGGAGUGGACGCAUCACUGGUGUUCGGGUUGUCAUGCCAAUGGCACUGCCCGGUAGCUAAAUGCGGAAGAGAUAAGUGCUGAAAGCAUCUAAGCACGAAACUUGCCCCGAGAUGAGUUCUCCCUGAGACUUUAAGUCUCCUGAAGGAACGUUAAAGACGAUGACGUUGAUAGGCCGGGUGUGUAAGCGCAGCGAUGCGUUGAGCUAACCGGUACUAAUGAACCGUGAGGCUUAACCUUACAACGCCGAAG
rnacentral:rRNA from 1 species